CAGAGGUGGCAAGCGUUGUUCGGAAUUACUGGGCGUAAAGGGCGCGUAGGUGGCCUUCUUAGUCAGACGUGAAAUCCCCGGGCUUAACUCGGGAACUGCGUCUGAUACUGGAAGGCUCGAGUUCGGGAGAGGAAUGUGGAAUUCCAGGUGUAGCGGUGAAAUGCGUAGAUAUCUGGAGGAACACCGGUGGCGAAGGCGGCAUUCUGGACCGAAACUGACACUGAUGCGCGAAAGCCAGGGGAGCAAAACGGGAUUAGAUACCCCGGUAGUCCUGGCCCUAAACGAUGAGUGCUUGGUGUGGCGGGUAUCGAUCCCUGCCGUGCCGAAGCUAACGCAUUAAGCACUCCGCCUGGGGAGUACGGUCGCAAGGCUG
rnacentral:rRNA from 1 species